UAGGGAAUCUUCCGCAAUGGGCGAAAGCUUGACGGAGCAACGCCGCGUGAGUGAUGAAGGUCUUCGGAUCGUAAAACUCUGUUAUUAGGGAAGAACAAAUGUGUAAGUAACUAUGCACGUCUUGACGGUACCUAAUCAGAAAGCCACGGCUAACUACGUGCCAGCAGCCGCGGUAAUACGUAGGUGGCAAGCGUUAUCCGGAAUUAUUGGGCGUAAAGCGCGCGUAGGCGGUUUUUUAAGUCUGAUGUGAAAGCCCACGGCUCAACCGUGGAGGGUCAUUGGAAACUGGAAGACUUGAGUGCAGAAGAGGAAAGUGGAAUUCCAUGUGUAGCGGUGAAAUGCGCAGAGAUAUGGAGGAACACCAGUGGCGAAGGCGACUUUCUGGUCUGUAACUGACGCUGAUGUGCGAAAGCGUGGGGAUCAAACAGG
rnacentral:rRNA from 1 species